rnacentral:rRNA from 1 species
CCUACGGGAGGCAGCAGUGGGGAAUAUUGGACAAUGGGGGGAACCCUGAUCCAGCCAUGCCGCGUGUGUGAAGAAGGCCCUCGGGUUGUAAAGCACUUUCAGUGAGGAAGAACGCCUGGUGGUUAAUACCCAUCAGGAAAGACAUCACUCACAGAAGAAGCACCGGCUAACUCCGUGCCAGCAGCCGCGGUAAUACGGAGGGUGCGAGCGUUAAUCGGAAUUACUGGGCGUAAAGCGCGCGUAGGUGGCUUGAUAAGCCGGUUGUGAAAGCCCCGGGCUCAACCUGGGAACGGCAUCCGGAACUGUCAAGCUAGAGUGUAGGAGAGGAAGGUGGAAUUCCCGGUGUAGCGGUGAAAUGCGUAGAGAUCGGGAGGAAUACCAGUGGCGAAGGCGGCCUUCUGGACUGACACUGACGCUGAGGUGCGAAAGCGUGGGGAGCAAACAGGAUUAGAUACCCCGGUAGUC